rnacentral:tRNA from 1 species
GAAGGUAUAGCUCAGUAGGGAGAGCGUUAGUUUUUAAGCUAGAGGUCAGGGGUUCAAAUCCUCUUAUCUUCA